rnacentral:tRNA from 1 species
GUGUUGUGGUGUAGUUGGUUAUCACGUUUAUCUUGCAAUUAAAGGUCCCUAAUUCGAAUUUGGGCCUAUACA